rnacentral:lncRNA from 10 species
UUUACCCAGGUAUAUGUGCCCCACUUACCUAAAGUCAGCCAAUCAAUGCUGCAGUCUAUUUCCUUUGGGUUGGGAGUCUCCUCAGUAUUAUCUCUUCAUGGUCACUGGAAAGAUGUUACAGGAAAGGGGUCCUGAUCCAGACCACAAGAGAGGGUUCUUGGAUCUCAGAGAAGAAAGAAUUCAGGGUGAGUCUAUAGAGUAAGUGAAAGCAAGUUUAUUAGGAAAGUAAAGGAAUAAAGAACGGCUACUCCAUAGGCAGAGCAGCCAUGAGGACGGCUGGUUGCCUGUUUUAUGGUCAUUUCUUGAUUAUAUGCUAACCAAAGGGUCGAUUAUUCAUGCCUCCUCUUUUUAGACCAUAUAGGGUAACUUCCUGAUGUUGCCAUGGCAUUUGUAAACUGUCAUGGCGCUGGUGGGAGUGUAGCAAUGAGGACAACCAGAGGUCACUCUUGUCACCAUCUUGGUUUUGGUGGCUUUUAGCUGACUUCUUUACUGCAACCUGUUUUAUGAGCAAGAUCUUUAUGACCUGUAUCUUGUGCCAACCUCCUAUCUCAUCCUGUGACUUAGAAUGCCUUAACCAUCUGGGAAUGCAGCCCAGUAGGUCUCAGCCUCAUUUGACAUAGCCCUUAUUUAAGAUGGAGUUUCUCUGGUUCACACACCUCUGACAAAACCAUGCACUUGAUCUCUCAAGUUGCCUGCUUGGCCUUCUUCCAAGUGUACUUUACUUACUUUCAUUCCUGCUUUAAAGAUUUUGAAUAAACUUUCAUUCCUGCUCUAAAACUUGCCUUGUUCUCUCUUUCUGCCUUAUGCUCCAUUGGUCUAAUUAUUUCUUCUGAGGAGGCAAGAAUUGAGGUUGCUGCAGACCUGUAUGGAUUCACUGCUAGAACAAUACCAGAUAUAUUUUAUGCAUGUGGAAAGAUACAUACUCUUAUUUUGAUGAAUAUUGUUUUCUGUGCAUUGAAAGCUAUUUGGAUCAGAAGGCUCUUAUUGAGAUAAUGCCCACGUAUGUAGCACAAGGCUUCUUUGAAAUCAUUAUUUUCUCAUGUUUAGUUUCAGCUGUACAAUACAAUCUUUGUAGAUCUUAUCAACAAAAGUGAUGAGUGAAGUUUGGCUCUUGAUAUAGAAUAAGAGAGUUAAAGACACAGAGUCCUGCCAUGUUCUGUGUCACAAAUCUCUAAAUCAGUUCCGAUCUAUAUUUGUUGCCACCUCCCCUGGCAUACAGCAGUAAAAACUGUGAUCCUCUUUAUCAUUAUCUUGGUUUUUUCUUUUGCUUGCAUGGCUUGCAUGGUUUCUAAUGAGAAUUCCACUGUAAUUCUUAUUCUGUUCCUCUAUCAGUAAGAUACCCUCCCUCCUUUUAAUCAUGUGACCUUGCUAAACUUACUAGUUCUAGUAGCUUUUUUGUUGAUUCCUUCAGAUUUUCUACAAGAUCAUUUUAAUUUUCAAAUUAAGGCAGUUUCUGCCUUUUUAAUCUCUAUACCUUUAAUUUUUUUCCUUUACUUAUUGCAUUGGCUACAAUUUAAAUAGUGAACUGUAAACCAGUAGUAAAAUUCAAAGGUUCUCCAUAAUCAUCUGAACGGACUCUCUCCUUGGCUAGGGCACCCUGAAGUUUUACCUGAAUGACUGUAUCAGGCCAUGGUGGGAAGUGGGGGUCGGACAUGCCUCAUUAUACCUCUCUAGCAUUAACAUCAACACAGGCCUUAAGCCUGGUAAGAAACAUUUACAGUCUAUUCUCUCCAAAGCCUGCUACUUGGAGGCUUCAUCUGUAUGAUAAACCUAGGUCCCCACGACACCCUAAUGUAACCCAGACAUUGCUUUCUACUGAUAAUAAGUCUUUCAACUAAUUGCCAUUCAAAAUAUGUUAAAAUCUGCAUAUGACCUGGAAGCCCUCCUGCUUCGAGUUGCCCUGCCCUUCCAGAUUGAACCAAUGUAAAUCUUACAUGUAUUGAUUGAUGUAUUAUAUCUCCCUACAAUGUAUAAAAGCAAGCUGUAGCCCUACCACUUUGGGCAUAUGUCGUCAGGACCUCCUGAGGCUCUGUCACAGGCGCAUCCUUAACCUUGGUAAAAUAAACUUUCUAAAUUG